rnacentral:rRNA from 1 species
CAGUGGGGAAUAUUGCACAAUGGGCGCAAGCCUGAUGCAGCCAUGCCGCGUGUAUGAAGAAGGCCUUCGGGUUGUAAAGUACUUUCAGCGAGGAGGAAGGCAUUAAGGCUAAUAACCUUGGUGAUUGACGUUACUCGCAGAAGAAGCACCGGCUAACUCCGUGCCAGCAGCCGCGGUAAUACGGAGGGUGCAAGCGUUAAUCGGAAUUACUGGGCGUAAAGCGCACGCAGGCGGUUUGUUAAGUCAGAUGUGAAAUCCCCGAGCUUAACUUGGGAACUGCAUUUGAAACU